GAAAAAUAACGAUACAGGUCUUUUUCGAGGCCCUGUAAUCGUAAUGAGCGUAUCCUUAACACAUGGGUGAGGACCCAUUGGAGGGCAAGUCUGGUGCUAGCAGCCGCGGUAAUUCCAGCUCCAAUAGUGUAUAUUAAAGUUGCUGCAUUUAAAAAGCUUGUAGUUGGAUCUCGGGAGUGGACUGGCGGUCCGCCGCGAGGCGAGCCACUGCCUGUCCCAGACACUGUCUACCGGUGGCCCCCGGAUGCCCUUGGCUUGGUGUCCUUGGGUCCGAGGGUUUACUUUGAAAAAAAUAUAGUGUUCAAAGAGGGCCAGCAUUCUCGCCUGAAAACCUGAGCUAGGAAUAAUGGAAUAGGACUCUUUUUUUGUGGGUUUCCCUGAACCAGGGCCAUGAUUAAGAGAGACGGCCGGGGGCAUUCGUAUUGCGCCGCUAGAGGUGAAAUUCUUGGACCGACGCAAGACAGACGAAAGCGAAAGCAUUUGCCAAGAAUGUUUUCAUUAAUCAAGAACGAAAGUCGGAGG
rnacentral:rRNA from 1 species